CUCAAUGCAGGAUGCACUUGGAAAAAUGGGCGGGAAGAAAGAUCGGCACUGGCCUCCCAACCCGAGCCCUCGUUCUUGUAGACCAAUCUAAUUUCCAAAGACUCUAAUGAUCCAGCAAGAAAACUUACCCCAACCAAGACGAAGGGAAGCCUGACGUCAAGCGCCCCUCGGCCCAACGGAAGCAGACCGGAAGGAUGGCACCGCUAUCGUUGAUACUGAAACCCUUCGAAACCCUAGGUUUCGUAUGGCUGUUCAUAGCUCGAUCACGAAGUUGGUUUUCAAGAUUAUUACCACUUAUGAGUUUUCAAGUUGCUCUCAUGUGUCAAUCUGUUAUAGUGUGUAAUCCCAUCACCACAACAAAUGUGGGCAACAGCCACAUUUGUAUUGCCACGAGCUGAAGGAAAUGUUGAAAUUGGGGUAGUUGGUGUCCAUAUCUCCCGCGUACAAACACAAAGUGUGGGUAUGUUUUAUUUUAUAAUUGUUAGAAUUUUCUUUCCUGCAAACCCGUACAUGACAUGGUCCUAGCUUUUAAUGAAUUUAUAUAUUUUCAUUUUUUAUUCAUGAGUGGGUGUUUAAAAAAUAUUAAAGUUCAUGGGAAACAGAACCUGAUAUUCGUUUCUCAUCUCUCUUAUCUAUUCGAAACUCUUAUCUUCUUCCCUUCUCCUUGAACUCACUGAAACCAUCAGUCUAUCUCUCGAUCUUCUCUCAUCCCUUCUCUUUAGUUACAGAAUUUUUUUUUUUUUUGAAAAGGCUUUAGUUACAGAUUUAAGUGCUGGAAAUUAAAUGGGUUUCUUCUUUUCCCUUGCUUUUUAAUUACUUUGUUUUGGUUGAUAGUGAGAAAGUCGGUGGAUUCAACACGAAGGUAGCCGCCAUGUAUUGUAUUCUCCGCCUCCUAGAUCUGGGACAACUUGGCAGUAAAACUAUUGUUCUUAGUUGUAUGAUAUCAAAUUUGGUCACAGGUUACUGGAGGCCUAGCUUGUGGAACUCCUCAUAUGAUCAGUGCUACGAUUCAAGGCCUUGCUUGUCUCGGUAGAGGUAAGUUUGAUCCGAGUUUGGAUCUGGUAUACUUCCUCUGUGGGUGAGAGCUGCGGCCUUGCCUGUCUCGUUUGUGAGAAGUUGAUGGGGCUAAGAAUUCUGGCUGAUCUGCUGGUCGGUGGAGGUGGCCUUCGUCGGCGACUUGUGGGACUGGGUAUAAGGCGAGGCUUUCCUCAUAUGUUGUUGGGUGAUGGUGAUGCUGAGGAUGAGCUCGUUUCUUUAAAGCCACGGAGGAAGGCAAUGGUUCUCGAUUUGGGUGCGAUUGCUGGUGGUGCUAAUGGCAGCGGUUUGGCUGACCAGAUCGACCUCAUCAGAAUAUGAUUUCAGGCAUGGGUCUACGCCUAUGAUCUCUAAUCCAAGAUCUCAAAUUUCAUCACUGAGUAGAGGCUGAAACCAUGGCAGUGACUGAAUCCAAGCCGAUCAUCAUUGAACCCAUUCAUCCCCAGAAAUAUGAAAUAAAAUGAAUAAGAUCAGGAUAUCAGCCAUCCAUCCCCAGGAAUACUCGAUAUUGGACCAGAAGCAAUUAAAAAAAAAAUACAAUUAUAAUAAUAAUUCCUACCCACCAUUGUUGUUAGUGGUCCCAAUGUGUCAGAGCUUCUUCAGAGAAGCCACAAACAAGUAAAUCGAGACUAUUAAGGGGAAAGCCACCCCUCUACAGAGCACUGACCCUAUUAAAUGUGGCUGUAGUGUGGCUAUGGCUGCUAGACACACACAUGUGUGUCCUUUGAGGUCUUUUUGUCACGCCAGCUGUGUGUGGCCUUUGCUCAUAAUUGUAGUAGUGCAUCCUAAUUCUCUCUCUAUUUUAAGGCAUGGGAGGGGAAUGAACAGUACCCUUCAAGUGAUUUAACUGUAUUGCCCCUAAAUCACGUUUUGCCGUCUUUCAUCGCUUGGUUGCGUGGCUUGCGUAGUGUAGAUUUGUUGCGUGGCUUCUAGAAAAAGCGUAGUGGGGAGAGAUAGAGAGAGAGAGAGGUGGAUUUUGUUUUGCUCUCAAGAGGAAGAAGACCUGCGUUUUAGAACUGUAUCUGUGUUUGAGCUUUUUUUUUGGCGUAGAGAUUUUGGUUGUCGUUUGUUGAGAAGGUUGGGUUUUGAUCAUCAUCAUCAUCAGGGACGUAGCCAGGAAUUCUCGGAGGAUUGGACUAAUUGUAGCCAUACAAAAUUUUUGCGCAGAACUCUUUUUUUUUUGGGUUUUAGUGAGAGGCUCAUUAAAUGGUUAAUGCCCUAAGCAAAAUGAAAUCAAAUCAUCAACAACCCUUGCCAAAAAAAAUAAAAAAAAUAUUCAUCAAACCAAGCAUAUCUGGACAAGUGGACGACUCAUUCCCUAAACACCAAACAAUCAAUUGAAUCAAACAUGAUAAGCACACGAAUUUGGACAACCCAUUCCAAACAUCACCAAGUUUCGACCUCACCCUAAACACCAAACAUCACGAUUCACGAAUCUGGACAACCCAUGGCCAUUCCCAAUUAUCAAACAUCAUCAAGUUUCGACCUCACCCUAAACACCAAAGAUCACGAAUAUGGACAACCCAUUCCCAAUUAUCAAACAUCAUCAGCAAUUCAGCAUGGGUAAUCACUAAUCAGUUUACGGUGUUUACCUGAGAUUCAGGGAUUGAAGGAGUCGCAGAGAUGCAGACUCGCAGUGGAGGUGGCUCGGUGGCGGAGGAGGUGGCUCAGGCGGACUGCCGGGACUCACGGCUGGAGCCUGGAAGGCUAGAAGGCGGAACCAAGCUCGGGACAGCGGAAGACGGGGAGAGUCUUGAGACUGACAGUGGGAGUUUCGACCGACAGCAGAGAAGCAUCAGUGUGUGUGUGUUUUUUUAUUUAUUUUUUUUAUUCAGAUUUUGGCCCAAAUUUUUUCUUGGCCUAUAGCCCAAGUAGCCCUUGUAGUGGCUACGUCCCUGAUCAUCAUCAUUUAUAGAAAUCGGUGAAUUUUUCUUUUUUGGUAUUUGGUUGCAUGUAAUUUUGUAGAUUUGUUCUUCAUUUGUUGAGGUAGCCUUUGUGUUGUUAGCUUCAAUUACUCAUCACUUUUACUAUGAUUCUGAGUAUGAUUGGAUGAGCAGAGCAUUGAAAUUUCAUGUCACAAUGGUUUAUAAUUGUUUUACCGUGCUGAAUUGAUGCCAAAAAACAAAGAUUUGCAAUCUUAGAUUCAAUCUUAAGGAUGACUUUUCACUCUCAUUGUUGUUCUUUUUAAUUUUUCUUUAAUGGGCAUAUCUUUACUCUGCUAACAAUUUAUCUAAUUUCUGUUUAUUAUGGUGGUCUUGCAGUUGGCUACUAUUUGGUUGGAGCGCAAGGAUUCCUUAGCUGGUAAUUUUCUACAUCAAUAAUGUUUGUGUUGAUUCAUUUGUUGGAUAGGUUCCUUUUUCUCCAUGCUCAUGCUUGAAGGGUCGUGUAUAUUCUCAGGCUUGCAGGACUAUGAGUUUUGGCAUGUUAGUUGUAAUUCAAUGCACUUGAAAUGGUAAUAAAUUUGUACGUACAUAAAUUUCAGUUUUAGGAAAUUGUAUUAGUUGAUGUGGGAAAGGGUUAACUAUGUCUUUAUCCUUCUCUCUGUUCGUGACACAUUAUUUAUUGUAGGUACUUUUCCAACAAUCUUCAUUCUGUGAGAUGUGCCACAGAAUACUUUUAACAUAAAUAUGUAAAUGUAUACACUUUGCUUGAUAUUUUUGUUUGUAUGAAGGUUUGUUCUUUGUUA